rnacentral:rRNA from 1 species
CAAUAGCGUAUAUUUAAGUUGCUGCAGUUAAAAAGCUCGUAGUUGGAUUUCGGGUGGGAAUGGCCGGUCCGCCGUUUCGGUGUGCACUUGCUACGCCCACCUUGCUGCCGGGGACGUGCUCUUGAGUUCACGCUCGGGACACGGAGUCGGCGAGGUUACUUUGAGUAAAUUAGAGUGUUCAAAGCAGGCCUACGCUCUGAAUACAUCAGCAUGGAAUAACACGAUAGGACUCUGGCCUAUCUUGUUGGUCUGUAGGACCGGAGUAAUGAUUAAGAGGGACAGUCGGGGGCAUUCGUAUUUCAUUGUCAGAGGUGAAAUUCUUGGAUUUAUGAAAGACGAACUACUGCGAAAGCAUUUGCCAAGGAUGUUCUCAUUAA